CCCCUAGAUGUUCUGGGCCGCACGCGCGCUACACUGAACAGUUCAACAAGUCUUAACCUUGGCCGAUAGGUCUGGGUAAUCUUUGAACGCUGUUCGUGAUUGGGAUAGACCUUUGCAAUUAUGGGUCUUCAACGAGGAAUUCCUAGUAAACGCAAGUCAUCAGCUUGCAUUGAUUACGUCCCUGCCCUUUGUAUACACCGCCCGUCGCACCUACCGAUUGAAUGGUCCGGUGAAAUCUCGGGACGGCGGCUUGGUCGCUUGCGUCCGACUGCUGAAACUUGAUUAAACCAUAUCAUUUAGAGGAAGGUGAAGUCGUAACA
rnacentral:rRNA from 1 species